GUCGAACGCUGGCGGCGUGCCUAAUACAUGCAAGUAGAACGCUGAAGGAGGAGCUUGCUUCUCUGGAUGAGUUGCGAACGGGUGAGUAACGCGUAGGUAACCUGCCUGGUAGCGGGGGAUAACUAUUGGAAACGAUAGCUAAUACCGCAUAAGAGUAGAUGUCGCAUGACAUUUGCUUAAAAGGUGCAAUUGCAUCACUACCAGAUGGACCUGCGUUGUAUUAGCUAGUUGGUGAGGUAACGGCUCACCAAGGCAACGAUACAUAGCCGACCUGAGAGGGUGAGCGGCCACACUGGGAGUGAGACACGGCCCAGACUGCUACGGGAGGCAGCAGUAGGGAAUCUUCGGCAAUGGACGGAAGUCUGACCGAGUAACGCCGAGUGAGUGAAGAAGGUUUUCGGAUCGUAAAGCGCUGUUGUAAGAGAAGAACGAGUGUGAGAGUGGAAAGUUCACAAUGUGACGGUAUCUUACCAGAAAGGGACGGCUAACUACGUG
rnacentral:rRNA from 1 species